rnacentral:lncRNA from 10 species
AAAGAAUCAUCUCGCACAAGAUGUCAAUAGCACCAAGAAUGAAGUAGAAGACUGCUCUCCUAUAGCAAAAAAUCUUCUACAGCAACAGCAAUGAAGAUCCAAAAGGGUGACGACCUAAGACAAUCUGCCCCCAGCCUUGAGAAUACUAGCUGGAAAGUGUGGGGGAGAAGUGACUUUGGCAAGAGUACUUCUGCUCACAGACAAAACAGGAAGUAGCUUCCUCCCCUAAAGAAAGCUAGCUCUUCCAGGGAGUGUGAAAGCCUACGUUACCUUUUGCGAAUUCAAGAGUUGGUCUCAUUGUGCCAAAAACUUAAAAUAGAUUCCACAACUGAAGGUUUCUAAAGUUGCUAUACUUUUUGAAGAACAUCUCAUGGGAAAAAGUUUAUUUAGGCAAAAAACAGACAGUUUUCUCCAGUCAUAAAAGAUUUAUUGUGUGAGAGACUUGCUAUACCAGAGACUGGAGAUACUGUAACAAAAUUCAUCUGCCACAAAAAUGUACAACUACUUUCAAAGAUAAUGAAAAAUUCACAGCUCAGUUUUUUCUUUAACAGAAUUGGUAUCAUUUUCAAGUAGAGUAAGAAGGCAUAUGUUCUUCAGUUUUAAUGUGGAAAAGAAAAGCGUUUUAUUUUUCUGUGAAGCUAGAUGACAGUUCAUUUCCCCAUAAUGACUUAAUUCUUCAUCACUCUGUCCUGACCAACCUUUCCCUCCAUUUUACCUGAAUCCUUAAGGGAGUCCACAUCUUUCCUAUUCUGACCUCCCGGAUGUGGGUCUUCAUCACUAGUUGUGUGUGUGCGUGCACAUGUGUGUGCACAUGUGUCCUGGAGUGGGGAAGAGGCAUGUAUUAUUUCUAGAAUUCUAAAAGAACAAGUAACCAAAUGCUUUAAAUUUAUAGCUUUGUCCAUGUUGCCCUGUUCCUCUAGGAUUUUAAAAUACAGGCUCAUUAUAUUGACCAAUUUUCACAAUACUAACAGCAAUUUUGAAAGUUGUCUGGUCAUUUUUUUUUAAGGAAACCUCAACUAAGGAAAUGACCCUAAUUAGCAUAGAUCAAUGCAGUCUCCAAGGUGGAAGAAUACACGAGCUAAAACUGUACAUUUCUGGAACGGACUCUCCUACUUUUUGCUAGAGGC